CCCUUAGAUGUUCUGGGCGGCCCGCGCACUACAAUGGCGUGUGCAGCGAGUGCCGAAGUAGAGUUUUCCGAGGUAUUCUUGCAAUGCUCGUUUUGAUGGGGAUAGACCCUUGCAACUGUUGGUUUUGAACGAGGAAUUCCUUGUAAGCAUGGUUUAUCAUCCGACGCUGAAUGCGUCCCUGCCCUUUGUACACACCGCCCGUCGCUCCUACCGAGGAGUCGUCCGGUGAAGUUCGUAGACCUCGUGAUCGCGGAUCACUGGGGGAAGCAAAAUGAACCUCGCGGUUUAGAGGAAGGAGAAGUCGUAACA
rnacentral:rRNA from 1 species